CCCGCCGCGGUUCCAUCCCCAGGAUCUCGCCGUGGUGCCAUCCCCAGGAUCCCGCCGCGUCCCUGUCCCACGGCUCUGCCAGCUCGUCGCCGGGAGUGCCGGGCCUGCUCCCUGGGGGUCGAGAGCCGUGACCGCUUGCAGCGCGUCCCGACCCCGGACCGGCCGGGCUGCGCACCCAGAGCGCCCGGGCCCCGCGACACCGCCACUGAACAGCAUCUCUAAGGGUGGGGGAGAGUUUCGGGCUUCGAUGUCAAGCUGAUAAGGCCACUUCUAUCCCACACCCACAGACCCCCACUUUAGUUAGAGAGGUAGAUGGGCUUUAGUUUACCUCCAAUCAAUCUCUCUUGAGGGACAAAGAGAUAGGUUCUUCAGAAAAACAAUCAUCCUUCCAAUGCACACAAGAGCAAAGAGAAUGGUUCCGGCACAAGAAGAUGUAAGGAAAAGGAAAUGAUGGUCAUACAGUUCCUUGUACUCACAGGAAUGGACACACAUGACAAUUCCAAUAAUUAGGGUGACUCCUUUGGUGCCAUCCUUGACUCUGGAUUGCUUUCCUGUCCACUGCCCCUCUGCUUAAAGGCUCUUUCUCAGUGCUGGAUGUCAUCUGCCUGGAGGUCCACAGCAUGACUGAUUACUUUCACUUAAAUUCCUCCAUACUUUUUCCUAUCCUGACCCAUGUUUCUCUAAGUAUCUGCAAAACUACCUCAUUGUCCUCUGAUAAAACCUCACUUUCUUUAAAAGCUCUUAUUUUUCCAAACAACUAUGAAAAGUGGAACAAUACGUAGAUAGAUGGUACCUUGGGAUCAUUUGCCAGUCACACUGAAUAGCGUUUUCUUAUUGUUUCCUUGCACUCCCCAUGUGUCUGAAUCUAUCUGUGUUCUGUUGUCUAAAAUUUGAGUUAUAGGCUCUUUGGGAGAACAAUAUUGCAGACAUAUCCCUGUUCCGUCUUUGCAAGCAUUUAACACAGUGGAGACGUGGUCCCUGAGCAGCAUUUUUUGGGGCUAGAGUAAUAAAAAUGGUUGUUAUUGAUGCUAUGCUACCCAAUACUAUAAAUUUGUUUGAUGCUUCUAAUUAUAAAUUCCUAUUCUGGUUAUUUAUAACUUUGCAAAUUUUUAUGCUGGGUGUCCGCCUCUGCUUAGAUUUUUUUUGGAAAGUUUCAGCAAAAAUGGUUAUGCUAUUUCCCAGAAAAAAGAUUAUGAAAAAAAGACAUUGUUUUGCCAAUGUUAAUGAAUUGGUUGUAAGAAUUCUUUUUUGGAAAUGCUAGCUACUCCAUGCUUUGACUUGAAGGCUGGCAGGCUGGAGGCAUCCUGGUGCCAGACACAUAAGCAUUUGCCCAUAUUUGGCUGGGUUUUAAACCCUAUUCAUUAGUAAUACAGUAGAGUUUGGCAGAUAAAUUCCUAAAAAUUGCUGUCUGUCCUGAGCAUGUGCUACCUUUUGCAGGCCAACUGCAUUAUCUCCACAGAGUUACUUACGCCUUCUGCAUUCUUACCAACCCGGGAUUUACUUGCAGAUGCUUUUAAAAGCAGCAGCAAGAUGGCUCAUGACUGGUGCCUUCUGUGCCCACAUUCUGCCCGGUCAACAGAGAGUAAGAAACAAUCUCACCUGAGUCCAGGCAAGAAAAGACCAAGAUCUCAGAUAUAUGUCCAGGGAAGACCAAGAGCCUAAGCUGGAAAAGCAUGGGAGCUCUGCUUUUGUAUGAAGACACUGGAAAGAUUAUGGAGGAACACUGACUUUGGUGCAUCCAAUUCACUGAUGACUUCCAUCUCCUACAUCACAUUUCUGACAUGGAUGGUCAAUAAUAGACCAUUUUGAUGAGCUUAAGCCCUGACUGAGUUCUCACUAUUCAUGCUAGACAGGAUGAAUUGGGUAAGGAAGGCAACCAGAAGAGUUGGCAGAAUUUAUCCCAGCGUUCUUCCAUGAGAAAGCAUAGCUGAUGCUUGUAGGAUGGUGAAACACAGCAUUCAGCAUAUUCCAGCUGUGUACCUGGACUCUCCAGGAGCAGCUCUGGCCAGGACCAAUUUUUAUGCUCAUGUAAAGGCAAAUAUGACCUUUUCUGCCAGAUGCAAACCUGCAACAAUCAUCAACAUUUUGGCCACCUAAAAGGAGGUUGCUGUAACAUUCAUCUGAUGUGGAAUCAUAAAUAAACUGAAGGCUAUGAAGACUGUUGAGACUUGUUGAAAAGAGCUAUAUAUUAAAGGUUUAUGAACUAA